rnacentral:snRNA from 1 species
GUACUCGCUUCAGUAGCACAUAUACUAAAACAGGAAUGACACAGAGAUUAGCAUGGCCCCUGUGCAAGGAUGACAUGCAAAUUCGUGAAGCAUUCCAUAUUAAA